rnacentral:rRNA from 1 species
CUAUGUCGGAUUAGCUAGUUGGUGAGGUAACGGCUCACCAAGGCCACGAUCCGUAGCUGGUCUGAGAGGAUGAUCAGCCACAUCGGGACUGAGACACGGCCCGAACUCCUACGGGAGGCAGCAGUGGGGAAUAUUGGACAAUGGGGGGAACCCUGAUCCAGCCAUGCCGCGUGUGUGAAGAAGGCCCUCGGGUUGUAAAGCACUUUCAGCGAGGAAGAACGCCUAGCGGUUAAUACCCGCUAGGAAAGACAUCACUCGCAGAAGAAGCACCGGCUAACUCCGUGCCAGCAGCCGCGGUAAUACGGAGGGUGCAAGCGUUAAUCGGAAUUACUGGGCGUAAAGCGCGCGUAGGUGGCUUGAUAAGCCGGUUGUGAAAGCCCCGGGCUCAACCUGGGAACGGCAUCCGGAACUGUCAAGCUAGAGUGCAGGAGAGGAAGGUAGAAUUCCCGGUGUAGCGGUGAAAUGCGUAGAGAUCGGGAGGAAUACCAGUGGCGAAGGCGGCCUUCUGGACUGACACUGACACUGAGGUGCGAAAGCGUGGGUAGCAAACAGGAUUAGAUACCCUGGUAGUCCACGCCGUAAACGAUGUCGACCAGCCGUUGGGUGCCUAGCGCACUUUGUGGCGAAGUUAACGCGAUAAGUCGACCGCCUGGGGAGUACGGCCGCAAGGUUAAAACUCAAAUGAAUUGACGGGGGCCCGCACAAGCGGUGGAGCAUGUGGUUUAAUUCGAUGCAACGCGAAGAACCUUACCUACUCUUGACAUCCUGCGAAUUCGGUAGAGAUACCUUAGUGCCUUCGGGAACGCAGAGACAGGUGCUGCA